rnacentral:rRNA from 1 species
GAUGAACGCUGGCGGCGUGCCUAAUACAUGCAAGUCGAGCGAACGGACGAGAAGCUUGCUUCUCUGAUGUUAUCGGCGGACGGGUGAGUAACACGUGGAUAACCUACCUAUAAGACUGGGAUAACUUCGGGAAACCGGAGCUAAUACCGGAUAAUAUUUUGAACCGCAUGGUUCAAAAGUGAAAGACGGUCUUGCUGUCACUUAUAGAAGGAUCCGCGCUGCAUUAGCUAGUUGGUAAGGUAACGGCUUACCAAGGCAACGAUGCAUAGCCGACCUGAGAGGGUGAUCGGCCACACUGGAACUGAGACACGGUCCAGACUCCUACGGGAGGCAGCAGUAGGGAAUCUUCCGCAAUGGGCGAAAGCCUGACGGAGCAACGCCGCGUGAGUGAUGAAGGUCUUCGGAUCGUAAAACUCUGUUAUUAGGGAAGAACAUAUGUGUAAGUAACUGUGCACAUCUUGACGGUACCUAAUCAGAAAGCCACGGCUAACUACGUG